rnacentral:rRNA from 1 species
UACGUAGGUGGCAAGCGUUGUCCGGAUUUACUGGGCGUAAAGAGCGCGCAGGCGGUCGUUCAAGUCGCGUGUGAAAGCCCCCGGCUCAACUGGGGGGGGUCACGCGAUACUGAUCGACUCGAAGGCAGGAGAGGGAAGUGGAAUUCCCGGUGUAGUGGUGAAAUGCGUAGAUAUCGGGAGGAACACCAGUGGCGAAGGCGACUUCCUGGCCUGUUCUUGACGCUGAGGCGCGAAAGCUAGGGGAGCAAACGGG